UUCCCUCAUUUUCCCUAUCGUCUCUUACAUGCCAAGGUAUCUUGAGGAGCACGUCUAUCACCUUCGACGGAGAAGACGAAUAGAGACACCACCUAAGAAGACGACGACAGUGGAAGGCGACACCGUGCGUAUCGCCAACAACGACAGCUUUGUUGGGAUUAGUCUUCAAAAGGGGUCUGAUAAAACAAGGUACUAGGAAGAGAGUUUUCCCAGUACUUUCACCAUUUUCAUUUGAAAUCCAUGAAUCAGUUAAAGCUCUUGGCAUUGUGAAUGCAAAUGAAGAACCAAUUGAAGAGAAUCCAAUGGACCUUGUCGCUAGUGAGAAUGAGCCAAUGGCCCCUGCUACAGUAGAAAAUGAUCCUAGUACCUUUGCGACUGAAGCUGACUAUCAUGGUUUUCCAACUCAACAAACGAAACUUGGAGACACAAAAAUGCAACUCGGAGUGCAACUUCAAUGGCACAAGACAAUACAUUAGCCUUUGCGAAUGAUGGUGCAUUGCCAAGCCUGACUGAUGAUAGUGGCAUGGAAUGGAAAAAAGGAAAAAAUGACACUUCAAGUGAUGAGGAGGACAGUUCUGAAAUAGGCGAAGAUUGUGUUGAAUCUGACAUAAAGGAAGAGUUUGGGACGUUUUAUGACAGUGAUGAGGCAGACCACAGAAAUUUCAAAAGAAUGGAUAAAAAAAAGAAGAGUUAAUUUACCCAAAUAGUAAAUUGCCAAAUCCAGAAGGGGGGUGGGGGUAUGACAUUUAUCUGAAUGGCAACGUAGUGCUUAGAAAAUGGCUAAGAUUUAGAGAUCACAAGCAGAACUGGGAUGUGGUGAAAGAUUAUGCUAUACAAGAAGGUUUUGAGCUUCAUAAAGUGAAGCAUGCUUCUAGCAUAAUUACUACACGUUGUAGAGCAAUGCACAUGGCGAAUCCAUGCUUCUAAGCCACCAGAUGGUACUGAAUUUCUCAUAAAAACAUACAAUCUUGAAUAUAAUUUCCGGUGUGUUGUGAAGAAUAGGAUAGUUACAACGAGUUGGAUUGCCAAAAAUCUCUUCGUAAUAGCUUUGCUAGAUAUCUUACAAUGAGUGUCGACAAAAUGAGAACUGAGUUGAGAGACCAUUUUGGAGUUGAGGCUACAAACAGGCGACUAUGGGCAGCUAGACAGAAAGCUAGAGGGGCUUCAGGAGGGGACUAUGCUUAUUCAUAUGCCAACUUAAGGCGUUAUGGUGCUAUGAUCCUUAAAUUCAAUCCGGGGAGUGCUGCUUUUGUCCGGACAAACUUAGAGCCAAUUGAAGAGCAUUUGGAGGGUGACACUAAUGAGCCAUUGACUCGUGUGGAAUCAGUAAUGAAGCUUCAAUUCAAGAGAAUCUUUGUUUGCUACGAAGGUGUGAAAUCUGGUUUCAAAGCAGGUUUCGACCUUUUUUUGGGUUAGAUGGUUGUCAUCUGAAAGGGUCAUACAAGAGCAUUUUAUUAGCAGCAAUGGGGGUUGAUGCAAAUCUUCAUUUCUAUCCCAUUGCAUAUGCUAUUGUAGAAGCAGAGAAUACUAAUAGUUGGAAAUGGUUUUUGGAGAUGUUACUGGAAGAAAUUGGGGAUACUGCUAAUGGCAAGCCAUGGUGUGUUAUGAGUGACAGACAGAAGGGUUUAAUUGAUGCCGUGGCUAACAUCCCAGAUGUAUCACAACGUUUUUGUUGUUUUCAUUUGGAGAACAACAUGAUGAAGAAAUUUGGGGCAUCAGAACUUAAACAAUUGUUUUAGGCAGCGACACAGACAGCGAGCUUUGAUAAUUUCAAGCGUAUAAAGACAUUCAACAAGGAAGCACAUGAGUGGCUUACCAAUAUUGACUUCAACCAUUGGUGCAUGAGCAAGUUUAACACAAAUGUUAAGGCAGAGCAUCUUACAAAAAAAUUUGUAGAAUAGAUGGCCACCAAUACAAGCCUCCUAUUGAAUUACUUGAGGGUAUAAGAAUGCAGCAUACCUGAAUGAUGUAUGUUAGGAAAAAGAUAGCAGACAAAUGGUCUCACAAGCUAACCCCAAAGGUGAAAUUGAGGGUCAAUGAAAUCCAAAAAAAAAGCACGUUUCACAACUGUUACAAAUGUUAUAAAUCAAGAAUUCAAAGUUGAUUAUUCUGCAAAAAGGUGUAUUUUUCGAUUAAAUGAAGGAUAUUGCAUAUGUGGCCAAUGGCAGGUGAGAGGAAUCCCUUGUAUUCAUGCAGCUGCUUGCAUAAAUACUAUAAGGGCGGACAUUACCAAUUAUUGCUCGCCAUAUGUCACCACUGAAAUGUUGAGGAAGAGUUUUGAGUAUGCUAUUCAUCCUAUACCAGAUGAAUCAAUGUGGCCUCAAUUUGACGAUGAGGAAUUACUACCACCUAUUAUAAAAAAAACUCCCUAGCAGACCCAAAAAAUAUCAUAGAUAAGGGUUGCAGGAGAGAAGAGACAUUUACCCACUGUUCUUGGAAAACAACCAGUUAGAAAGGGAGUUUCUAGCACUAAGAAGUGCAAGAACUGUCAUGAAUUUGGCCAUAACAAAAGGUCAUGCAAGAAACCACCAGCUCCUACCCCAUCUCAAUCACAACCUGAAAAUGCCCCAGCAGCGUGUCGAGGUAAAAGAAAGGCAGCAGGUCGGGGCAGAGGUCAAGCCAAAAAAAAAAACAGAGGCACAUCACAUGAGGUAAAAUAUUAUGCAUGUAUUAUAUGUUAUCAUGGUCAAUUUAUCUGAAUCAAUUUACCAUUUUUUCUGGCUUCUGUUCCAAGCUUGGAGCCAUCAGCUAAAGAAAUCCAGACAAAUGCACCACCAAUGGAUUUGGCAAACUUUGGCAAACUUGGCAAACUUGAUUUUAAAGAAAGAACCUAAUAUUGAAGAGCCUAUGUUUUUUGUUGUUUUUUUUUAUAAGGAUGUUACCUAUAACUUUUUUGCAAGCUGCUUUUGUAAAACCUAAACCAACUGUUGUUGGAUUUCUUUUGUAAAGCACUUACAUAGUGGCUACUUGUGUGCUAAUUAUUUUUGUAAAGCCUGAAACAAUUGUUGUUGGAUUCCUUUUGUAAAUCACUUAUACAGUGACUACUUGUUUGCUAAUUAUUACAAACUUUCAGU